rnacentral:rRNA from 1 species
UACGUAGGGUGCGAGCGUUGUCCGGAAUUACUGGGCGUAAAGAGCUCGUAGGUGGUUUGUCGCGUUGUUCGUGAAAUUCCCUGGCUUAACUGGGGGCGUGCGGGGGAUACGGGCAGACUGGAGUACUGCAGGGGAGACUGGAAUUCCUGGUGUAGCGGUGGAAUGCGCAGAUAUCAGGAGGAACACCGGUGGCGAAGGCGGGUCUCUGGGCAGUGACUGACGCUGAUGAGCGAAAGCGAGGGGAGCGAACAGG